rnacentral:rRNA from 1 species
CCCUUAGAUGUCCUGGGCCGCACGCGUGCUACACUGACGCCUACAGCGAGUACUUCCCAGCCCCGAGAGGCGGCUGGUAAUCAGCAAUAGGCGUCGUGAUGGGGAUAGAUCUUUGGAAUUAUGGAUCUUGAACGAGGAAUGCCUAGUAAGCGCAGGUCAUUAGCCUGCGCUGAUUACGUCCCUGCCCUUUGUACACACCGCCCGUCGCUACUACCGAUUUCGAGUGGUCCGGUGAAGCCUCCGGAUUGGCGCGCACCUCGGUGCCGCCGAGAAGUUGGCUAAACCUUACCAUUUAGAGGAAGGUGAAGUCGUAACA